UUCAUGUAACAUAUCAGACUGCAUUCCAAAAAUAUGUUAAUACCAUAUAUUAGAAUAAUUUGGCUAUGGAGGCUUAAUGAUAAUGAUGGCUAAAUGAAAAUUACCCCACUAUAUUUCCUCAAUAUAUUAUAUUCCAUAUUUUAAAUACUGUGACAGUUCCUGCAGUCUGGUUUGAAAAAGGGGGGACCGGCAUGUUAGCAAUAAUGUGUUCAUUAUAUAUCAGUGCUAAACAUGAGCAUCGUUCGUUGUUGGGGAACUAGUCAGCCUUCUUGAGUAGGACUAAGGGGUUUCUGGACCUGAGGUUUAAGCAACGUGUAGCAGCAGGGGGUGCCGCGGAAGAUUGGAGAGGCUCUGAGUGGUUCUUUCGAGUUUCCUUCAUUACCAAACGGGCUGACGGAGUGAGUGGGACGCUGUGGCACCAUGCUCCAUCCCCUGGCUGUGUUCGUGCUGGUCGUCAACGUGUCCAUCACCGUCUUCUACUGGCUGUUCAUCCUGACUGAGGCCUUCAAGCAGAGGAAAGCGGAGGACCAACAGCCUGCAUAAAAGGUCUUUUGCAAGAAAGUGGAAGAUGACCCGGAACACGCGGUCCCCAUCACAGCAUGAAUAAGGAUCCUGCCACCAAUAAGAAUCAUCUUAUAUCCAAGCCCACUUUCCAUCGAGGCUUACCAGCAUGGAGUCCCACAGCAUGGUGCAGUCUGUUCAACAACACUAUUACACAUUCCUGGCUCCUUCCCGCAGGGGGCUUGCUUCAAGUCAAAAGGACCCAACCACAGCAAGAUAGAGCAGAGCGGUGGAGAAGAGGGGCCGGAUCAUUUCCAGAAUACUUUCAUUGCUCCUACAUUCAUGGUUUUGAAGCGUGGUUCAGUUGUUGUUCAUCUAACACUUACCGUUACUGGAACGGUUUGUAUACAAAGAUGAAAGAAUCAAGGCAAAAUUGGAGCCAACCAAAUUUUCCGCUCAGAUAUCUUUUCAUCUUAGUACUCCUUUCAACAGCACAAAACAUUUGAAGGUGAGGUGAGGUGUGCCCUUCAGAUUCAACACAUUUUAUCAAAGGUACAGUGUGUAGAAUUGAGGGGCAUCCAGCAGAAUAGACUUGUCCAAAAUGGAAUGUAAAAUUCAUAAGUUUUCAGUUGGUUGCAAUCUUUCAUAACCAAUUUCAAACAACAAAUAUACCUCUUUUGAAAUCGUCCAAGUACCCCCUCCAAUCCUCCAUAGAUAAGUUUUAAUAUCAGAAAAUCAUCCCCAUUGAUUGAUAGAUGAGUCUAAUUAGGUUUCAUUAAUUUGAUAUGAUAUGGAUAUAGGAUGUAUGACACAUAUAUAUGUGAAAAUUAUAUAGAUUAUAUAUAAAUUAUAAAGAAAAUACAUAGUUGGAAAUGCAGUGUGUUACAAAAUAAAAAUAUAUAUUGUGUUUUCAAAGCUGAAAUUGUGUUUGUUGUAGUAAUACUUUGGCACUUGUUUAAGAGACAUUAAUAGGUGAUGCUAAUGUUAAAGCUAAACUAGGUUCCCUAUUAUAACAAUCCCUCCCUCCAAAAAUAUCAUCAUUAAUAUAAUCAACAUUUGAUGAGUCAUUGUCACCAGCAUGAGUAUGAAAACAUGGCAAAUAAGCUUGACCUAUCACCUUUCAACCCAACCCUAGAGCUUGGAAAGAAUAUCAUCUGGGGAAUUGCUUUUGUUUGUUGUGUGUUUUGUAUAAUUACAAUGAAAUGAAUGGCCUUGCCCUUCAACAUUAAAAACACUGGAAUAAUUAAACGUAGCCUUAUAAUUUAUUGUCAAUAUAACAUAUUGAGGGUUAAUGCUUGACAAUUCCCUUCGUGAAUAAUGGUUACUGAACUG
ensembl:lncRNA